GGGUCAGUAGGUUGGUCGUGCCACCGGUACGUACCGGUCUCACUUAUUCCUCCUUCCUGAAGAACCGUAAUGCCAUUAAUUUGGUGUUGCGGGGAAACAGGACUGUUACUUUGAAAAAAUUAGAGUGUUUAAAGCAAGCUAACGCUUGAAUACAUUAGCAUGGAAUAAAGAAAUAGGACGAUCGAUCCUAUUUUGUUGGUUUCUAGGUUUGACGUA
rnacentral:rRNA from 1 species